GCGAAUGACGAGCCAAAUGUUUGCGUCAUUCGUCAGACACACCGCCGAAGCGAGAGGGACGGGCCGCGCAUCUGAGCGUUGGACUGUUCGGGCACCCGCCUGUGUGUUUUUCCAUUUUGGGGUGUAGCCUGGUUUGGUGGCCUCCGGCGAAUUAUUGCGUUCCUUCGGAACUUCGACAUGGCACCACUGCACUAUUGCACUACGGCAAGGAAAUGUAAACACAGCCCAUUUCGUUUGAAGCCAUUGUAGCAGAAAUAAACACGGACAAAGAUAAGCACAGGACUCCACGGACACUGCAACGGGAGAUAUGGCUUCAUGUAAGAGGUGGCCGCGACUGUGUGCUUUACUGCCUCCUGCCUAGUGCUGCCUAUCAGAAAAAAGAAGUAUGAACGAGCAUUACCUGCGUUUUUCGGGACUUUACACCUAUAAAAAAAACACAGUUUCCCAGGCGUGACAAAUGGCGAAACUACGCAAAACGUUGAGAUCUGAAGGGUCUGACGUGGGAGCAGAUGUACAACGGCUACGGCCUCUUUGACCACUUCACAGACCGGGCCUAGACCAACCCGGCUAAAGCAAGGCUGGUGCUGUUGGAGUGGACGAGCGGUCACUGAUUCAGAAAGGUAAACCAGUUAUUAGUGGCUGCGAAUAUCUCUGCUUCUGUAGUUCAUUAUUUUCAGCAAGAAAUCAAUACACAACGCAUGGUGUAAAUGUGAAGUUCACAUCGAGCGCUGUCUUUUCAUGUCGUUCGGUUCCGUAUUUUCUGCGCAGGCGUGAAGAGACAGCGUGUUUCUCAGAUUCCGUUUAUGAGAUGCUCAUUUGCUGUGCGCCAUGUUCUGGAUUAUUGGCUAUACUAAUACCCACGUGACGCAGCAAACGUAAUCUAAUUUCCAACCCCGGAUAUUAGUUGACGUUGGUGCCGUGAUCAUUGUGCGCUGUCCCAGCGCGAAAGCUUAUGUAAAUUGAAAAUUAUGCCAAUGACGAUAGUAAAGAAAGAGAGGCAAAGAGAGCGUUAAACCUAGUUCUGUCCAAUGAAUGUUUUGCAGUAUGCAAACUUACAUUGUAACUUGAUCCUCCCGUUCACACCAUGCUUUCUGACCACUAAUUCUCGACUCUGUUGACUAAGUCAAGCUAAGUCGAACAUCGGGCAAAGAACAUGGCGGAAAGCAUGACGGGCACGUUCACUACCCUUGCUGAAGAAGAACAGGGACCAAGAGUUUGCUCCCUCGAAGACCUACGGCUCUCGUCUGUCUUGUCUGCGUCUUUUGUAGAAAAUAAACUGUCUGUUUUCCGCCAUCAA